AACGAACGCUGGCGGCAGGCCUAACACAUGCAAGUCGAACGCACCGCAAGGUGAGUGGCGCACGGGUGAGUAACACGUGGGAAUGUACCCUUUGGUUCGGAAUAACGUUUGGAAACGAACGCUAAUACCGGAUGAGCCCUGCGGGGGAAAGAUUUAUCGCCAAAGGAGCAGCCCGCGUCUGAUUAGCUAGUUGGUGGGGUAAAGGCCUACCAAGGCGACGAUCAGUAGCUGGUCUGAGAGGAUGAUCAGCCACACUGGGACUGAGACACGGCCCAGACUCCUACGGGAGGCAGCAGUGGGGAAUAUUGGACAAUGGGCGCAAGCCUGAUCCAGCCAUGCCGCGUGAGUGAUGAAGGCCUUCGGGUUGUUAAAGGCUCUUUCGCACGCGACGAUGAUGACGGUAGCGUGAGAAGAAGCCCCGGCUAACUUCGUGCCAGCAGCCGCGGUAA
rnacentral:rRNA from 1 species